rnacentral:rRNA from 1 species
GUGGGGAAUUUUGGACAAUGGGCGCAAGCCUGAUCCAGCAAUGCCGCGUGCAGGAAGAAGGCCUUCGGGUUGUAAACUGCUUUUGUACGGAACGAAACGGUCCGGGUUAAUACCCUGGGCUAAUGACGGUACCGUAAGAAUAAGCACCGACUAACUACGUGCCAGCAGCCGCGGUAAUACGAAGGGUGCAAGCGUUAAUCGGAAUUACUGGGCGUAAAGCGCGCGUAGGUGGUUUUGUAAGUUGGAGGUGAAAUCCCCGGGCUCAACCUGGGAACUGCGCUUGUGACUGCAAGGCUGGAGUGCGGCAGAGGGGGAUGGAAUUCCGCGUGUAGCAGUGAAAUGCGUAGAUAUGCGGAGGAACACCGAUGGCGAAGGCAAUCCCCUGGGCCUGCACUGACGCUCAUGCACGAAAGCGUGGGGAGCAAACAGGAUUAGAAACCCGGGUAGUCC